CGUCCAAUAAUUCAACGGGAAGAGAAUUGCUCUCAAAAAGGGCAUGCACGUUGGUUCAACUCCAACAUGGACGA
rnacentral:tRNA from 1 species